rnacentral:tRNA from 1 species
GGGCCUAUAGUUCAAUGGUAGAAUUUCCCUCUCCAAAAGGGAAGAUCAGGGUUCGAAUCCUUGUGGGCCCG